rnacentral:rRNA from 1 species
CCUACGGGAGGCAGCAGUGAGGAAUAUUGGUCAAUGGACGCAAGUCUGAACCAGCCAUGCCGCGUGCAGGAAGACUGCUCUAUGAGUUGUAAACUUCUUUUGUACGAGAAUAAACUCAGAUACGUGUACCUGUCUGCAAGUAUCUUACGAAUAAGGAUCGGCUAACUCCGUGCCAGCAGCCGCGGUAAUACGGAGGAUUCAAGCGUUAUCCGGAUUUAUUGGGUUUAAAGGGUGCGUAGGCGGUCUGAUAAGUUAGAUGUGAAAUCUCGCGGCUCAACGGCGGAAUUGCAGCUGAUACUGGUAGGCUAGAGUGUAGUUGCGGUAGGCGGAAUGUAUGGUGUAGCGGUGAAAUGCUGAGAGAUCAUAAAGAACACCGAUUGCGAAGGCAGCUUACCAAGCUACAUCUGACGCUGAGGCACGAAAGCGUGGGGAGCAAACAGGAGUAGAUACCCGAGUAGUC